rnacentral:rRNA from 1 species
UAAUCGCGAAUCAGAAUGUCGCGGUGAAUACGUUCCCGGGCCGUUGUACACACCGCCCGUCACACCAUGAGAGCCGAUAACACCCGAAGCCUGUGAGCUAACCGUAAGGGGGCAGCAGUCGAAGGUGGGGUUGGUGAUUGGGUGAAGUCGUAACAAGGUAUC